CCCCUCGCUGCACUAGUUGAUAUAAAAUGCAUAGGUGAAAUUUAACAAAUGAUGUGACAACUCUUUUUUUGUCCCAAAAUAUAAUCCUAAACAUUGCCUUGAAAGUAAUAGUGAGAAUAAUUAAACUCAGAUAAUCCAAAUUAAUUAAAAUAUGAAUUAUUGACCAAAUUAAACCCAAUUAGCAAAACUGAGGAAAUACUGGACAAUUAAGCACAAUUCACUAAUUAAAUUCGGUGUGGAAAGCUAAGUGAAUAGGAUAAAAUAACGAUUCAUCACUUCAGUUGAACCUUCUUCUUCCCCAUUCAGUUGUACAUUCCCGUCUUCCUCUUCCUCAACAACAUAAGGCUCUUCUUCAACCAUGUUGACCUCUUCCUUACCCACAUUCACCUCUUGCUCAACCAUGUUAACCUCGUCAUCACUUACAUUUGCCUCUUCCUCAGGCAUCUUAACCUCUUCCUCAGUCAUAUUGAUCUCUUUCUCACCCACAUUUACCUCUUCCUCCAUGUCCUCUAUGUGUCCUGCCUCU
rnacentral:lncRNA from 1 species